UGAAUCAGUGAAAGCAAACUAAGGCCCACGUCUAGCCUCCCUCCAAGGCUUCUAGAGCCUCCCCAGCCCCCCCGCCCCCACAAAGCUGUCAUUUCCGCUUCCAGGGGUGGCAGGAAGGGGAGCACUGGGCAGGCCUACCUCGGGUGACAACUCCCUCCAGUCGCACAAUGUGGCUAUGGUCAAACUGGCCCAGGGUGAGGGCUUCAGCCAGGAAGCUGAGCCUUUGCGAGUCUGAGCAGCCAUCUCUGAGCGUGUGUACAGCCACAGGCAGCUCUUGGCGGCCAGGUAGCUGCAAGCAGCCGCCGCACAGGUCCCCAAACCGUCCUGUGGGGAAACAGCACCUCAGUCAGCCCCCUGAAGGCCGUGGCCCAGCCAUUGGGGCAGCCUGAACUGAGGAGAAAGUAACUCUGGCCUGGGGUGUGGAACUCCUGAGUUCCAAUCCUGGUUACCUCAGUACUAGCAGUGUAAUCACCUCUCCCUCUCUGGGCCUCAGUUUCCUUCUCUGUAAAGCUUUGGACAGGGCAUUGCACAUGCCAGCCCCUCAAGGCCAUUAAACCCAGCCUGAACCAGAACAGAUGAUGAUGACAUCUAUUCUGCCUUUUGUGCAGCAGGUCUGGCGACAGUGUCAGAAGUGUCAGGCUUCCAGUGAAAGUGUUAGGCUUCUUUGAAUGUGGGGCUGAGGGCUCGUG
rnacentral:lncRNA from 1 species